UACGUAGGGUGCAAGCGUUGUCCGGAAUUAUUGGGCGUAAAGAGCUCGUAGGCGGUCUGUCGCGUCGGCUGUGAAAACUCGGGGCUCAACCCCGAGCCUGCAGUCGAUACGGGCAGACUAGAGUGCUGUAGGGGAGACUGGAAUUCCUGGUGUAGCGGUGGAAUGCGCAGAUAUCAGGAAGAACACCGGUGGCGAAGGCGGCUCUCUGGGCCUUACCUGACGCUGAGGAGCGAAAGCGUGGGUAGCGAACAGG
rnacentral:rRNA from 1 species